UUACCGUAAAACCAAUGCCAACAGUCGCAGAGAAGGACCCCGGAAUGAAUUUGCCCUGGUCAAACUGGACGAGCAGUGAUGUCUUUCCCACUCCACUGUCUCCUACCAGAAUGGUCUGCAGACAUCAAGAAAGAGAACAGAUCCCCCGAAGGCUUGUGUAAACAUUACACUUCAUUUUCUCAAGACCGAUUAAACCUCUUGAGUAAUAUGCACAUCAGCUCCUCAGUGAAGGAGUUACUUUAUUUAGCAUUCCCAGGUGGACGUUUAAUUCUGUCUUCAAUGAGAAUACGUCAUACUCCACAGACAUAACUAUUUGUGUAAAGAACCAGACGUGGGCAUCCAUCUCCCUCACCAUGGUAAUCACAUCCUCCCCCUGAAGUCGUCCAGAUCACAUGAUUAGUGGAUAGAUAAUUGUGCUUUACCCUGUGCCUUACAGUUCUG